UACGUAGGGACCAAGCGUUGUCCGGAAUCAUUGGGCGUAAAGCGCGCGUAGGUGGCCAUUUAAGUCCGCUGUGAAAGUCAGAGGCUCAACCUUUGAAAGCCGGUGGAUACUGGAUGGCUAGAGUACGGAAGAGGCGAGUGGAAUUCCUGGUGUAGCGGUGGAAUGCGCAGAUAUCAGGAGGAACACCAAUAUCGAAGGCAGCUCGCUGGGACGUUACUGACACUAAGGCGCGAAAGCAUGGGGAGCGAACAGG
rnacentral:rRNA from 1 species